rnacentral:rRNA from 1 species
GAUGAACGCUGGCGGCGUGCUUAACACAUGCAAGUCGAACGAUGAAGCCCAGCUUGCUGGGUGGAUUAGUGGCGAACGGGUGAGUAACACGUGAGUAACCUGCCCUUGACUCUGGGAUAAGCCUGGGAAACUGGGUCUAAUACUGGAUAUGACUUCUCAUCGCAUGGUGGGGGGUGGAAAGAUUUAUUGGUCUUGGAUGGACUCGCGGCCUAUCAGCUUGUUGGUGAGGUAAUGGCUCACCAAGGCGACGACGGGUAGCCGGCCUGAGAGGGUGACCGGCCAAACUGGGACUGAGACACGGCCCAGCCCCCUACGGGAGGCAGCAGUGGGGAAAAUUGCAAAAUGGGCGCAAGCCUGAUGCAGCGACGCCGCGGGGGGGAUGACGGCCUUCGGGUUGUAAACCUCUUUCAGGAGGGAAGAAGGGGGGGGGGCGGUACCUGCAAAAGAAGCCCCGGCUAACUACGU